rnacentral:sRNA from 1 species
AUGUACCCACGUACGUACACUCCGGUUCCUCCGCGCCGUCCGCGACCACCUGACGACUGCUCGCCACGUUUUGUUAACC